rnacentral:rRNA from 1 species
AUUGAACGCUAGCGGGAUGCUUUACACAUGCAAGUCGAACGGAGUGGCGGACGGGUGAGUAAUAUAUCGGAACGUGCCCAGUAGCGGGGGAUAACUACUCGAAAGAGGGGCUAAUACAGCAUACUAUUGGAGCGGCCGCUAUCGGAUUAGAUAGUUGGUGGGGUAAAGGCUCACCAAGGCAAAGAUCCGUAGCUGGUUUGAGAGGACGACCAUCCACACUGUGACUGAGACACGUCCCAGACUCCUACGGACGGCAGCAGUGGGGAAUUUUUGACAAUUGGGGAAACCCUGCUCCAGCCCUCCCGCGUGUAUGAUGAAGGCCUUCGGGUUGUAAAGUACUUUUGGCAGAGCAGCGGUAUCUGCAGAAUAAGCACCGGCUAACUACGUGCCAGCAGCCGCGGUAAUUC